UCUUGGUCAUUUAGAGGAAGUAAAAGUCGUAACAAGGUCUCCGUUGGUGAACCAGCGGAGGGAUCAUUACCGAGUUUACAACUCCCAAACCCCUGUGAACAUACCUAUACGUUGCCUCGGCGGAUCAGCCCGCGCCCCGUAAAACGGGACGGCCCGCCCGAGGACCCCUAAACUCUGUUUUUAGUGGAACUUCUGAGUAAAACAAACAAAUAAAUCAAAACUUUCAACAACGGAUCUCUUGGUUCUGGCAUCGAUGAAGAACGCAGCAAAAUGCGAUAAGUAAUGUGAAUUGCAGAAUUCAGUGAAUCAUCGAAUCUUUGAACGCACAUUGCGCCCGCCAGUAUUCUGGCGGGCAUGCCUGUUCGAGCGUCAUUUCAACCCUCAAGCUCAGCUUGGUGUUGGGACUCGCGGUAACCCGCGUUCCCCAAAUCGAUUGGCGGUCACGUCGAGCUUCCAUAGCGUAGUAAUCAUACACCUCGUUACUGGUAAUCGUCGCGGCCACGCCGUAAAACCCCAACUUCUGAAUGUUGACCUCGGAUCAGGUAGGAAUACCCGCUGAACUUAAGCAUAUCAAUAAGCCGGAGGAA
rnacentral:rRNA from 2 species